UACGUAGGGUGCAAGCGUUGUCCGGAAUUAUUGGGCGUAAAGAGCUCGUAGGUGGUGUGUCGCGUCUGCCGUGAAAGCCCGGGGCUUAACUCCGGGCCUGCAGUCGAUACGGGCAGACUGGAGUUCGGCAGGGGAGACUGGAAUUCCUGGUGUAGCGGUGAAAUGCGCAGAUAUCAGGAGGAACACCGGUGGCGAAGGCGGGUCUCUGGGCCGAUACUGACGCUGAGGAGCGAAAGCGUGGGGAGCGAACAGG
rnacentral:rRNA from 1 species